rnacentral:rRNA from 1 species
AGAACGAACGCUGGCGGCAUGCCUAAUACAUGCAAGUCGAACGAAGGCUUCGGCCUUAGUGGCGCACGGGUGCGUAACGCGUGGGAAUCUGCCCCUUGGUUCGGAAUAACAGUUGGAAACGACUGCUAAUACCGGAUGAUGACGAAAGUCCAAAGAUUUAUCGCCAAGGGAUGAGCCCGCGUAGGAUUAGCUAGUUGGUGAGGUAAAGGCUCACCAAGGCGACGAUCCUUAGCUGGUCUGAGAGGAUGAUCAGCCACACUGGGACUGAGACACGGCCCAGACUCCUACGGGAGCAGCAGUAGGGAAUAUUGGACAAUGGGACGAAAGCCUAGAUCC